GAUGAACGCUGGCGGCGUGCCUAAUACAUGCAAGUCGAGCGAACGGACGAGAAGCUUGCUUCUCUGAUGUUAGCGGCGGACGGGUGAGUAACACGUGGAUAACCUACUUAUAAGACUGGGAUAACUUCGGGAAACCGGAGCUAAUACUGGAUAAUAUUUUGUACCGCAUGGUUCAAAAGUGAAAGACGGUCUUGCUGUCACUUAUAGAUGGAUCCGCGCUGCAUUAGCUAGUUGGUAAGGUAACGGCUUACCAAGGCAACGAUGCAUAGCCGACCUGAGAGGGUGAUCGGCCACACUGGAACUGAGACACGGUCCAGACUCCUACGGGAGGCAGCAGUAGGGAAUCUUCCGCAAUGGGCGAAAGCCUGACGGAGCAACGCCGCGUGAGUGAUGAAGGUCUUCGGAUCGUAAAACUCUGUUAUUAGGAAAGAACAUAUGUGUAAGUAACUGUGCACAUCUUGACGGUACCUAAUCAGAAAGCCACGGCUAACUACGUG
rnacentral:rRNA from 1 species